UACGUAGGGGGCAAGCGUUGUCCGGAAUCAUUGGGCGUAAAGAGCGUGUAGGCGGUUCGGUAAGUCGGCUGUGAAAGUCCAGGGCUCAACUCCAGAACUGCCUUUGAUACUGAGGAUCUUGAGUUCGGGAGAGGUGAGUGGAACUGCGAGUGUAGAGGUGAAAUUCGUAGAUAUUCGCAAGAACACCAAUGGCGAAGGCAGCCUUCUGGGCCAACACUGACGCUCAUGCACGAAAGCGUGGGGAGCAAACAGG
rnacentral:rRNA from 1 species